rnacentral:rRNA from 1 species
GACAGAGGGUGCAAACGUUGCUCGGAAUCACUGGGCAUAAAGGGCGUGUAGGCGGGACAGUAAGUCGGGCGUGAAAUCCCUGGGCUCAACCCAGGAACUGCACUCGAAACUACUAUUCUUGAGUGUCGGAGAGGAAAGCGGAAUUCCUGGUGUAGAGGUGAAAUUCGUAGAUAUCAGGAGGAACACCAGUGGCGAAGGCGGCUUUCUGGACGAUAACUGACGCUGAGACGCGAAAGCGUGGGGAGCAAACAGG